GAGAAGGAAGCUUCAUGAAGGGAGAAGUUUAGAGGAUCCUGGAAGUGACACCGAGAGCAGUCUAUGAUGGAUAGAGCAGGGGUUGGGGAGAGGGAAAUGCAUGGUGUUUAGCGUAACCAGAUGGUGAUUUUGCUACACACCAAGGAAGGAAACCCUGGAAGAGAUGCAAGUUUGGAAAAGGUCAAGAGCGAAUCUGGGAGGCAACUGAUUAUUCUGGAAAAACAUAUUGAAUUGACUUUCCAAAUACUUUCUUACCAUACAUGGAUUUUUUUUUUUUUUUUUUGGAUGAGAAAUCUUAACACCAUUUCUUUCCAGUUGUAGGAUCUUUAGCAAAAGCUUAACUCAUUGAACCUAAAUCCUUCAUCUGGAAAGUGGGGUAGGGGAGAAGUCAAGGAUGUAAUAUUUUGUAUAAAAUACAUAAUGUCUGACACAUAAUGGGUGCUUAAUAAAUCCUUUCCCUUUGUCUUAAAAAAAAAAAUUCAUCAUACCAUUUCAGCCAUGUGAUCAAGUUCAACACCAACAGUGAUAAGUUAUGUUGAUAACAAGUAUCCUGGACGUGAUAUGAUGAGAACCCACAUUACCUAGAUGGUCUUCCUCCCUAGGAUUCAUAACUCUGAUCUAAUCAUGAGGAAAAAAUAAUUCUCAAGAUAGGGAUAGUCUUCAAAGCUGUCAAGAAUAUCAAAAACAAGGAAAGACUAAGAAACUGUCAUAGCCAAGAGGAGCCUAAGGAGAUAUGACUACUAAAUGUAAUGUGGCAUCCUGGAUGGGAUCCUAAAACAGAAAAGAACAUUAGGUAAAAAACUAAAGAACUUUGAAAACAUUCUAGACUUGAGUUAAUAUCACUAUUGGUGCAUUAAUUAUGAAAAUUUUCCUUACUAAUGCGAGAUGUUAAACAUAGGAGUAACUGGGUAAGGAAGUGUAUGGUAACUAUCAUUUUUGUGAAUUUCU
rnacentral:lncRNA from 1 species